CCCGAGCUCCGGGCACGCGAGCGGCGGCGAUCGAGGGCGUCCGUGGCGCCAGGGAGAGCGACGAGGACGACUCAAUGGACGUCGACGUUUCCGACGGGGACUGUUUCCGGGAAUCUCUCAUGACGACACAGAGGAGCUACGAAACCACUCUUCUCACAAAUAUUUUUCCUGCAAAAGCCAGGGAGUAAAAUGAUGUGGUUUCCUUAUUAACUUGUUGUGGGCGUGGCAGCGACAAAAACAACAGGUUGUCCGAGGAAAUCAAACAGUGGCAUGAUAUUCAAGAUCUGAUCAAAUGAGUCCCUGAUCUAAGCAUCGCCUUCAACAAAAUGUCUCCCAGGAGAAAAGCGAUAAAGAGGUGAGCGCUGGCAAUCCCCAAGACAAGGCAUCAGGCGAGUCCCAAAGUGCGUGCCAAUCCACACUGCGCUUGUAUGAAAAUCCUCGGGCAGUAUGAUAGCCUCCAAGUCUGCUUGAAUCAAAUGCAGUGACUUGCAAA
rnacentral:lncRNA from 1 species